CAAGUACUCCCUCCGUCUGGAAAUACUUGUCAUCAAAAUGGAUAAAAGGAAAUGUAUCUAGACAUAUUUUAGUUAUAGAUACAUCUCUUUUUAUCCAUUUUGAUGAUAAGUAUUUUCGGACGGAGGGAGUAUUUA
rnacentral:pre_miRNA from 1 species